rnacentral:rRNA from 1 species
GACGAACGCUGGCGGCGUGCUUAACACAUGCAAGUCGAACGAAGUGGCGAACGGGUGAGUAACGCGUAAUCAACCUGCCCUUCAGAGGGGGACAACAGAUGGAAACGACUGCUAAUACCGCAUACUGAAGGAGGGGAUUGCGUCUGAGUAGCAAGGUGGAGGGGUAACGGUCCACCAAGGCGAUGAUCAGUAGCCCGUCUGGGAGGAUGAACGGCCACAUUGGGACUGCGACACGGCCCAUACUCCUACGGGAGCCAGCAGUGGUGCAUCUGCCGCAAUGGACGAGAGUCUGACGGAGCAACGCCGCGUGAGUGAUGACGGCCUUCGGGUUGUAAAGCUCUGUUAAUCGGGACACGGUACCGGAAUAGAAAGCCACGGCUAACUACGGGCCAGCAGCCGCGGUAAUAC